CUUGGUCAUUUAGAGGAAGUAAAAGUCGUAACAAGGUUUCCGUAGGUGAACCUGCGGAAGGAUCAUUAAAGAGUAAGGGUGCUCAGCGCCCGACCUCCAACCCUUUGUUGUUAAAACUACCUUGUUGCUUUGGCGGGACCGCUCGGUCUCGAGCCGCUGGGGAUUCGUCCCAGGCGAGCGCCCGCCAGAGUUAAACCAAACUCUUGUUAUUAAACCGGUCGUCUGAGUUAAAAUUUUGAAUAAAUCAAAACUUUCAACAACGGAUCUCUUGGUUCUCGCAUCGAUGAAGAACGCAGCGAAAUGCGAUAAGUAAUGUGAAUUGCAGAAUUCAGUGAAUCAUCGAAUCUUUGAACGCACAUUGCGCCCCUUGGUAUUCCGAGGGGCAUGCCUGUUCGAGCGUCAUUACACCACUCAAGCUAUGCUUGGUAUUGGGUGCCGUCCCUAGUUGGGCGCGCCUUAAAGACCUCGGCGAGGCCACUCCGGCUUUAGGCGUAGUAGAAUUUAUUCGAACGUCUGUCAAAGGAGAGGAACUCUGCCGAUUGAAACCUUUUAUUUUUCUAGGUUGACCUCGGAUCAGGUAGGGAUACCCGCUGAACUUAAGCAUAUCAAUAAGCGGAGGA
rnacentral:rRNA from 1 species